UGUGAUCGACGUGCGGUGUCGCAGUUACAAGUUUUGGCUUUCGAUCGGAAAUCAUAUUUAGACAAGCAUCGAGGUUUCAUUUUUAAAACGUUAAUUAACUUUGCAGUCAUUUGUUCGUCGAUCGAACAUCGAUCCAUGUUUGUUUCUUUUCCCUUUUUCUUUUCCCUUUUUCUUUUUCCUUUUUUUUCUUCACUUCACUUUCUCAAGCGUUCUACGUAUCAUCUAAAUCGCGUCGUCAAUUGUGAAAAAAGUUAUUAGGCCAUAUUGCAUAUUUCUUCUUUUCGUGUCCCAAUUACAUUUUCUUUUUUCUCAAUCCGCUUUUUCUCCAAUCCCCUUUAAAUAAUUUUUCUUCCCAUUUCAGCGCGCUAAAAUCGAAAAUUCUCAUUGUUUCAUUGAUUUGAAUACGCGGUUUCUAAAUAGUAGCUUGAAAUUACGAUCAACAAUGACAUGGUGGUGAAAUAUACAUUAUGUAUAUAUAGAAAACAAUAUGCCGCGGAACGAUGUUCAGUCUUGAAGAAAUGUAACUGCAGCGAUUAAAUUGAUCUGUUUUGUAUAUGUGUCUGUAUGUAUAUACGUAUGUAUGCAUGUGUGUAUGCGUGUUUGUUUGUGUGUGUGUGUGUGUGUGUAAAACCGGAUGGGCUUAAGCUUAAUCCAGAGCGGAUGGCUCGUGUAGCAUUACAAAUGCUGUACAAUUAUUUAAAUCGUAUCGCUUACCAUAAGAAACGGAUUCACGAUUAUAAAACGCUAUUUUGACGCAGAUGAAACUCGAUGAUUUCGUUUAAACAAUCGCAGCUCUACAUGAUUUCUCUACAUUAUAGUUCUUAUUAUUCUCUGUGUGUAUGUGUUUCUUCUUCAUCGUCGUUUUUUUUUAUUCUCUGCUUUAUUAUUAUUUCUUCUCUCUCUCUCUCUCUCGCUCUCUUCUCUCUUCUUCUUCUAUCUCUCUCUCUCUCUCUCCCUCUCUUUCGCUCUCUACAAUCUCGCAUAUAUUGACUUUUAUCGAUUGAUUGGAAAAUUAUCUCGCGUGUAAGAAGAAGUUCGCGACGAUGAGGAAAUUUCCUUUAUUAAACGCGAACGAUAUUCACGAGAUUAAGAUUUUCGAAUUUACAAUCGAUCGAUUCUCGUCUCGAUCUCUCAUCCAUCUCGAAUCGAUCUCGAAUCGAUCCUACGUCAUCGUCGCGAUUUUCUUCUUCGGUCGCAGCGCAGUUAAAUACUGAACAGGUUACGAUUCUAACGACUAAGCGUCCGAGUAAAUGUUAUACCGCGACAUUUAUGCGCUUUCCUCUCUCAUCCGCCCAUGGUUACGCUUAAAAAACGUAAAACGUUUGAUUUGAAAUCUGUAUGCAAGGGCAGCAGUUUCACACGAAUCAUUUAAUCUUCUUUUACGUUUUUGCCUAUCUAUUUCGUUUCUUUCGUUUUCCCCCCCUCUUUCUUUCUUUCUUUUUUUUUUUUAUCUGUUUUGUGUGUGCUUGUUUUUUUUUUUAACACAGUUGCAUACGGCUCGCAAUUACCUCGCGCUUUCUUACGAUUCACGGGUGAAGAACGUCGUGUUUUCUUUUUCUUUUCCUUUUUUUUUUCUUAUUUUUUUUUAUUUUUUUUUAUUUUUUGGCUAGACACGGAAAUCAUCGGACGAACCCUAACUCGUUUUGCAAUUGUACAAAUCUCUGUUUCUUUAUUUAUUUAUUUAUUUUUUUUUCAUUUUCUCACUUUUUUUUUCUUUCUUCUUCUUCGCUUUCUUCUUACUAACGUGUCGUUCGCAUAUUGAGCGAUUAGUUUAUUACAUUAUUCAUUAAUAAGUACACGUGCCAAAAUGCACCCACUUACGCGUGUGAUGUCGAGAGCACUAAUCAAUUUAUAUGUAUAUACCUCGUAAUCAUAGUAAUGGUAAUUAAUAAUAAUAAUUAUAUGAAUUAAUAAUGAGAAUAAAAUGUAGUUGUAAUAAUAAUUAUAUAUAGGCAAACCUUUGUUGUAGCGUUGUACUUAGCGUUAUUUAAAAUAGUAGCGUUACUCUUACGUGUACCGAGUACGGACAGAAAAUUGAUUUUUUUUUUUUUGUUUGUUAACUUCCUUUAUAUAUAUAUAUAUUUUUAUAUAUAUAUAUUAUAUAUAUAUAUAUAGUAAUAUGGAGGGAAUUUACUAACAACUUGCUCGAAAAGUGCAGCAUUCUCACGAACCUAUAAACAAAUAUAAAAAAUUUCCUCUUUUUAAAAUCUUUUUGUUCCUUUUUUUUUUUCGUUUUUUCUUUCAUCUUUUUCUCGCUCCCCCCCCCCCUCCCCCUUUUUUCCACAUUUUGUCAUUCCUCUUUCGUUCAUCGUGGUACAUUUCAACCAGGAUUACUCUUCUGCUUUGAUGUUUGUUGUUAGGGAUGUUAAUUUUACACGUUUGAAUCGCGAAUGAUCCAAAAUAUCCGUUCGAAUCUCCCGCUUCUUCUCGUGCUCUUUAAAAGACUCAAAUUUGACAAAGAAAGGACAUCGUAUAUAUUGGAAAAAAGCAGAAUACAGUCGAAAUGUCACACGUAAAUAUGCCGUGCUUAUAUGUCACUUUCUGUUUUCUCCUUUUUUCUUUUUUUUUUUUAUUAUCUUUAUUAUUAUUAAUCUUUUCAUCUAUUUUCCUUUUCCUUUCCCUAACUCCAUCGUAGUGAAAAUAAGGUGUCGAUAAUACUCGGACUGUACAUUAAGUACAAUGUGUGAACAGGUUGCACGCGUGACAAGCUAUCUCCACGCGUGCGUGGAAAAAUUAACAUUAUCCAAAGCACCAGGCACGAUCCUCUUCCUCGUACACACGCUCAUACAUACACGCACGCAUGUAGCAAACGCGUCCACAUUGAUUCUUCUCUCUCUCUCUCUCUCUCUCGGUCUUUCACACUUUUCCAUCCACGUCCCUUUCCUUCUUCCUCUUAUCCUCCAUUUCUGUUCGCCUCGACGAGGCAAAUUUUUCUCCCCCUUGACACACGAACGAAACGACACGAACAACCAUGCAAAUAAGCACGCUCAUAACGAAUAGUAGCGAUAUAAUAAUACCAUCAUUGUUUUUAACACGUUGUUGCACACGUAACAUUGUUCUAUGCGUGUAUAAAUUGUACGAUUAACGAGCCACGGCGUGCACGAUACGAGAACCGACACUGAAGAAACGUUCAUAAUAAAUCCCUUAUUACAACGUUAUACAUGUCGCGGCACAUCUUCUUUUUAUUUUUUCCUCCUUUGUUUGUUUGUUUGUUUGUUUGUUUGUUUGCUUGUUUCGCAAGAGUGAUUGAUCGCUAGAACGACGGCAUCAUGCACUUAUUACUUUACACCUACCACGUAGACAGUAUCGUAACAUGAUUUCUUUUUGUUUUUUUUCUCUUUCUUUUUCCUUUUUUUUUUUUUCAUUUUAAGUGUUAAAUUCACAGUGACAUCUAAGGAAUUCGGGGAUUUCGUCGAUAAUCCGCCACGUUGUUUUCGCCACGAUUCUUGACUAGAAGCAUCCUGAGACGUAGAAAACUUCUCUACUCCUAUCUCGAUUCCGUUUUUUUUUCUUUUUUUUUUUUUUGUAUUAUUGUUGAUUAUUAAGUACGUUUUCCCGGACAGAAAAUGGCAGAAGAAUUGUGUAAAAAUUAAGUAUCGAACUCGCGAGAUAUGUUGACGUGGCCGGAUUAACGACGUAACCGCAGAAACUCUCGCUCAUUUAGUUAUUCUCAUUUACACGGCGCGCCCCCAUUUACACUUACACUUCGCCCUCUCCUAUUCUUUCUCGUCCCCUCUCCCCCCUUGCCAUUCAUUCUUUCGCCCACGAAGGUCAAUCUGAUCGAAAGAAUACCGAUCGAUUUUUCUCAUUCGAAGGGAAACACAUCGAGAUCUACCGAGAGUUUUGUCUAACAAGCGUGCGCGUGAAAGGAAGGACUCAUCGUCGUUGAUUCGCUUCACUUGCGAAACUGGCAUGAUCGCUACGUGAUCAACGACACCAACGACGAUAUUCGCGUCGAUCGAAUCAAUUGAAAGCAGCUGUGCACGCGCGCGUUCCUCUUUAAUCCCGGUAUACAGCGAUGUAUACCGGUGUUGUUCAAAAAAAAAAAAAAAGAAAGAGCGACUAGCAUUUCGUGAUACAACGAAACGACGAGUAUAGACGAGAGUCGCAUGGAUCGUAUUAUCAUUUCUCGAACAAUCCUUCCUCACAUUUCUUUUCUUCUUUUGACGAUUUGUUUCGAUUCGACCUUGAUCUUUCUACGAUUCCUUCUUCUCGUUCAUGAUAUUUUUCUUCUCUUUUUUCUCAAGAAACGAAGAACCUUCCCUCCCCCUUCCUCGUUCGAAUCAUCAUACGCGGCGACACGUUCACACACGACCAUAACGUCGAUCCCAACGAAUUCGGAUAAAUCCACGUGAUUCAGACUCAGACUCGUUUUUCGUUUUUUUUUUUCUUUUUCUUUUUUUUAAAGCCUAUUUAAUAAUUCUUUCGUUCUCUGCUCUGAUUAAUUAUACAUCGCGUGCGAAAAUACCAAGAAAUAUCCUCGCAAAAAGUUAAGCUGGACGGCUUUGAUCAAAAAUUAGGAUCUCUUUCGAAGGACGUGAUUAUCGGGAGAAUAGGAAGUGUUUGCGGGACGUGUAUGAUAUUG
rnacentral:lncRNA from 1 species